rnacentral:tRNA from 1 species
GGCUCGGUAGCUUAGUUGGUAAAGCGCUCGUCUAGCAUACAAGAGUCCUGGGUUCAAAUCCUAUCCGAGCAC